rnacentral:rRNA from 1 species
UCGAACGAUGAACCCCUUCGGUGGGGAUUAGUGGCGAACGGGUGAGUAACACGUGGGCAAUCUGCCCUGCACUCUGGGACAAGCCCUGGAAACGGGGUCUAAUACCGGAUAUUGACCUUCACGGGCAUCCGUGAAGGUCGAAAGCUCCGGCGGUGCAGGAUGAGCCCGCGGCCUAUCAGCUUGUUGGUGAGGUAAUGGCUCACCAAGGCGACGACGGGUAGCCGGCCUGAGAGGGCGACCGGCCACACUGGGACUGAGACACGGCCCAGACUCCUACGGGAGGCAGCAGUGGGGAAUAUUGCACAAUGGGCGAAAGCCUGAUGCAGCGACGCCGCGUGAGGGAUGACGGCCUUCGGGUUGUAAACCUCUUUCAGCAGGGAAGAAGCGAAAGUGACGGUACCUGCAGAAGAAGCGCCGGCUAACUACGUGCCAGCAGCCGCGGUAAUACGUAGGGCGCAAGCGUUGUCCGGAAUUAUUGGGCGUAAAGAGCUCGUAGGCGGCUUGUCACGUCGGUUGUGAAAGCCCGGGGCUUAACCCCGGGUCUGCAGUCGAUACGGGCAGGCUAGAGUUCGGUAGGGGAGAUCGGAAUUCCUGGUGUAGCGGUGAAAUGCGCA